rnacentral:rRNA from 1 species
UUCUGGCUCAGGAUGAACGCUGGCGGCGUGCUUAACACAUGCAAGUCGAACGGAGUUAUUGAAAGCUUGCUUUAAAUAACUUAGGUGGCGGACGGGUGAGUAACGCGUGGGUAACCUGCCUUAUACUGGGGGACAACAGUUGGAAACGGCUGCUAAUACCGCAUAAGCGCACAAGAAGGCAUCUUCUAGUGUGAAAAACUCCGGUGGUAUAAGAUGGACCCGCGUCUGAUUAGCCAGUUGGCGGUGUAACGGACCACCUGGCCAACGAUCGGUAGGGGUUCUGAGAGGAAGGUCCCCCACAUUGGAACUGAGACACGGUCCAAACUCCUACGGGAGGCAGCAGUGAGGAAUAUUGGUCAAUGGGCGAGAGCCUGAACCAGCCAAGUAGCGUGCCAGGAUGACGGCCCUAUGGGUUGUAAACUGCUUUUAUGCGGGGAUAAAGUCACCCACGUGUGGGUGUUUGUAGGUACCGCAUGAAUAAGGACCGGCUAAUUCCGUGCCAGCCGCAGC